rnacentral:lncRNA from 1 species
CAGUGUCUUUAUCCUCACAAUGCCAUUCUGACAUAUGUACUAUUAUUUUUCUUGGAUGACAGAAAAAGUUCCCAGAUUUGAAGUCAAUUCCCCAAGAGCACACAGGAGCCAAGGGAUGGAGCUGCAACUGAAGCCCAGAUAAUCGGACUCUAGGGAAUGCUGUAUUAUCCAUCAUCUAAACUACUUUCUACUUGAACGGAUCAUUGGGAGGGAUGAUUUAUGAUGUAGCUCAAGGCAGAAUUACAUAGAGCACCUAUAUUAGAGCAGAAAUAUAAAUUCAAUGAUGUAUUAAUCAGAGAAUGGAUCUUGAAGGUAUUUUUAAAAGGCAAAGAUGAGAUAAUAGUUCUUAUGAAGCUAGUGUAUGCUUGGAAAUAUUAAUUUAUCAUUAGAGCACAUAGCCUAGCUUUGUGAUCAGUUAAUUAACGAAAAGAUCAACAAAGAAAAGCCAGUAGCCCUUGAAAUAGCACCAUAUUAACAGUGGCAAGGUAAAGUUCUCAUUUUUCAUAGGGACACGCUAGAAUAAGGCAAUGAUAACCAGCAGCCAACACCCUCUACCUCCCAAAGGUGACCAAGCUAUGCUACAAAACAUAUUCAUUUGAAUACAAACCCAGAAGAUAGCUUAAAGUAAAAUUAAGUUUCAUAAAUUGGGCACUGAUGCAAUGUUCAUUCCUUGUUGUACCCUAAAGUCUCAAAAAAGGGGGUGACAGGCGUGUGGUGUGUGACCAUGGAAAAGCCAAGGGAGAAGAUAUUCUUAGUGAUGAGGAUGCAUGAUGCUGAUGAAUGCACUUUAUUUUCUUGCCCCAAGUCCAGUGGUCCCUCUGUCACAGCCCACUUGAGUCACUGCCCCGUGUUGGAGGGACAGAUGGGAAUCGCAGUAGAAUGAAAGCUCAUGCAAGUAGAGGUCUGAAUCGUGACUCAGCACUUCAGAGGGAAAAUGAAAUACCCAAGCUGACCUAUGACAAGAUCAGAAGAGAGAUCUCUUCAGUGCCCUGGAAACUCACAAUGGUUGAAUGAGGUGUGUGGGUGUCACUCGUGCUUCUCCCUCGGCGCUCGUCUCGGGGCAUAGGCUUCAGGUCGACCCUUCCACCCUGGGGGAACACACAUCACCUUUCCAGAGAG